rnacentral:rRNA from 1 species
ACCUACGCUGGCGGCGUGCCUAACACAUGCAAGUCGAACGAGAAAGUGGAGCAAUCCAUGAGUAAAGUGGCGCACGGGUGAGUAACACGUGACUAACCUACCCUUGAGUGGGGGAUAACUUCGGGAAACCGAGGCUAAUACCGCAUAAUACCUUCGGGUCAAAGGAGCAAUUCGCUUAAGGAGGGGGUCGCGGCUGAUUAGCUAGUUGGUAGGGUAAUGGCCUACCAAGGCAAUGAUCAGUAUCCGGCCUGAGAGGGCGCACGGACACACUGGAACUGAAACACGGUCCAGACUCCUACGGGAGGCAGCAGUGGGGAAUUUUGCACAAUGGGGGAAACCCUGAUGCAGCAACGCCGCGUGGAGGAUGAAGUCCCUUGGGAUGUAAACUCCUUUCGACCGGGACGAUAAUGACGGUACCGGUAGAAGAAGCCCCGGCUAACUCUGUGCCAGCAGCCGCGGUAAUACAGAGGGGGCAAGCGUUGUUCGGAAUUAUUGGGCGUAAAGGGUGCGUAGGCGGUGCGGUAAGUCUUCUGUGAAAUCUCCGGGCUCAACUCGGAGUCUGCAGGAGAAACUGCCGUGCUUGAGUAUGGGAGAGGUGAGUGGAAUUCCUGGUGUAGCGGUGAAAUGCGUAAAUAUCAGGAGGAACACCUGUGGCGAAAGCGGCUCACUGGACCAUAACUGACGCUGAGGCACGAAAAGCUAGGGGAGCAAACAGG